rnacentral:rRNA from 1 species
AUUGAACGCUGGCGGCAGGCCUAACACAUGCAAGUCGAACGAGCGGCGGACGGGUGAGUAAUGUCUCGGAAUCUGCCUGAUGGAGGGGGAUCACUACUGGUAACGGUAGCUAAUUCCGCCUACCAUCAGCUGUGCCCAGUUGGGAUUUGCUAGUUGGUGGGGGAACGGCUCACCAAGGCGACUACCCCUAGCUGGUCUGAGAGGAUGACCAGCAACACUGGAACUGAGACACGGUCCAGACUCCUACGGGAGGCAGAAGUGGGGAAUAUGGGACAAUGGGCGCAAGCCUGAUGCAGCCAUGCCGCGUGUAUGAAGAAGGCCUUCGGGUUGUAAAGUACUUUCAGCGGGGAGGCGUUACCCGCAGAAGAAGCACCGGCUAACUCCGUGACAGCAGCCGCGGUAAUAC